UACGUAGGUGGCGAGCGUUGUCCGGAUUUACUGGGCGUAAAGAGCGCGCAGGCGGUCGUUCAAGUCGCGUGUGAAAGCCCCCCGGCUCAACUGGGGAGGGUCACGCGAUACUGAUCGACUCGAAGGCAGGAGAGGGAAGUGGAAUUCCCGGUGUAGUGGUGAAAUGCGUAGAUAUCGGGAGGAACACCAGUGGCGAAGGCGACUUCCUGGCCUGUUCUUGACGCUGAGGCGCGAAAGCUAGGGGAGCAAACGGG
rnacentral:rRNA from 1 species